CAGCGCCACGAGUGGGAACCACAAUUAUUGGGCCUAAAGCGUCCGUAGCCGGUCUGGCAAAUCUUUUGUGAAAUCAUACAGCUCAACUGUAUGAACUGCAGAAGAGACUACCAGACUUGGAACCGGGAGGAGUCAGAGGUAUUCAUUGGGGAGCGGUAAAAUGCUAUAAUCCUAUGAAGACCACCUGUGGCGAAGGCGUCUGACUAGAACGGAUUCGACGGUGAGGGACGAAAGCUAGGGGAUCGAUCCGGAUUAGAUACCCGCGUAGUCC
rnacentral:rRNA from 1 species